rnacentral:misc_RNA from 1 species
GGAAAAUAAGCGUAUAGAGUCAUUUUCUGGAAAAUAUCUUCCCUCUCAUACAAAAAGAACACCUAUGUCUCCCAUAAGAAUAUAACGUGUGUAAGUCAAUGGAGAGAAGAAUUUCAUCCUAUAGAAUACAAGAGUUGGUUAAUGUGGACAAUGCUUAUUUCAGCUUAUUACUGGGCAUAGUUGACAAUAGUGACAUUAGAAAUGAGUUUGUCUGAUUUGUAAUGUCAACAUUAUCCAAAGUAUUUUUAGGUUACUGGUGGUUUGUGUUUUUCAAAUA